rnacentral:pre_miRNA from 1 species
UUUAUACUCCCUCCGUCCGGAAAUAUUUGAACGUAUUUAGACGUAUUUUAGUGUUAGAUACAUCAACUUUUAGUCAUUUCUACGACAAGCAUUUCCGGACGAAGGGAGUAGUAA